CUGCUGCUGCUGACACCUCUCUCUCUCUCUCUCUCUCACUAAGUUCCCACUUAUGGCUUCCACUCUAUCAACACUCACACUCUCCAAUCCCAAGCCCUCCGCCGCGACUUCCCCUACCCACGACCAUUCACCUGCUCUCCUUAAGCAGCAAUCCCUAUUAUCUUUUCCUCUGCGCACCCAAAAUCCACUCCUCCUUCACCGCACAGCAUUUGUCCGCCCCCUCGCCGCCGUCGAUGCUCCGGAGAAAGUUGUACAACUCGGUGACGAAAUUUCCAACCUAACUCUGGCCGAUGCUCAAAAGCUCGUCGAGUACCUCCAGGACAAACUAGGAGUAUCAGCCGCAUCGUUUGCCCCCGUCGCGGUUGCCGCUCCCGUGGACGCAGCUGCGGCCGGUGGAGCCGCACCAGUCGUGGAGGAGAAGACGGAGUUCGAUGUGGUCAUCGAGGAC
rnacentral:lncRNA from 1 species